ensembl:lncRNA
AGCCUCUCCACAGUGGCUGCCUUUGUUCUCUUCUUACAACUUAGAACUGCCUUCCUCCAACUAACAGCAUCCUCCUGUCACUGGAAGCUCCCACCCGACUAGAAGGGAAGAGGUACAGCCUCUAUGUGGAGUUGUGAGCCCACGGCCACUUGGUAAGAGAGCCCCAGACUUCCCAAGGAGCUUCAGCACCUCUCAUGCUCCAGCGGCUUACAGACAGGAACCAAGGGACAGUAACCAGGUGGGGAGGAUGGAAGCAACACGAAUGAGAAGCACGAUCACGGCUGCUGCUACAUGCUGUGAUUCAUUUCAAGCCCAGAUUCCCCACUCUAACCAGGCUGGGGAAGACUAUGGAAACCAAAAGUGGCUUUAAGCACCUUUAACGCUUUAGUAAUUCUGGGGCUAGGCUGAGUCCAGCUGCUGACCACUGUGCUAGUGCCAAAGCCUACCCAAGACAGGGCAGACUGAGCGCUGGGCCUACAGAUCUGUGCCUGCAUAAACCACAUGAAGAGAAACCAUCCACCAAACGAAGACUGGAGAGCACGGCAGUGGGAUGAAAGGACUGCAGUAGUAAGAACUGAGGAUUUCUGGAGGCUUUUUUUAACUGCUGGUUAGAGAAUCAGCUGUGAUUUCAACAGCCACAUCAACCAAACUGGACUGAACCACCUCCAGCACAGAAAAAGCCUCAGGGAGGAGAUGAAAAGUGUAAUUAAUUAAUGCUUGUUAAAAUGCUUUGAGAC